CAUGUCCUGUUGGGUUAUUAGGAACCUUGAUUCUAUCAGUAAAGUGGUGUAUAUGAGCUGAGGGAAGAGAUUCAGAACGUGAGAUACAUUGGAAAUUCUAGGAGCAUAGGAGAUGAGAAGCCAGGCAUCAGCAGGUGGGGGCCACCAGCGGCCCAUACACUGCAGAAGAUAGCUGUGUAUGCAACCCAAAACAUUUGGAGAUAACGUAUUGUUUGGGAAUAUUUCGAAGUUGCAGACUAGCUGGAAGCAGCUUACCGCUUGCUGCCAUGCCUUCGCCCCACCAUCAUGGACUCAUCACUUGGAG